UACGGGGGGGGCAAGCGUUGUUCGGAAUUACUGGGCGUAAAGGGCUUGUAGGCGGCCAACUAAGUCAUACGUGAAAUCCCCGGGCUUAACCUGGGAAUGGCAUUUGGGACUGCAAGGCUUGAGUGCGGCAGAGGAGACUGGAAUUCCCGGUGUAGCAGUGAAAUGCGUAGAUAUCGGGAGGAAUACCGAUGGCGAAGGCAGGUCUCUGGGCUGACACUGACGCUCAUGCACGAAAGCGUGGGGAGCAAACAGG
rnacentral:rRNA from 1 species